CUACGGGGUGCUGCAGUGAGGAAUAUUGGACAAUGGUCGAAAGACUGAUCCAGCCAUGCCGCGUGCAGGAUGACUGCCCUAUGGGUUGUAAACUGCUUUUAUACGGGAAGAAAAACACCUACGUGUAGGUGACUGACGGUACCGUAAGAAUAAGGACCGGCUAACUCCGUGCCAGCAGCCGCGGUAAUACGGAGGGUCCGAGCGUUAUCCGGAAUCAUUGGGUUUAAAGGGUCCGUAGGCGGGCUAUUAAGUCAGAGGUGAAAGUUUGCAGCUCAACUGUAAAAUUGCCUUUGAUACUGAUAGUCUUGAAUUGUAGUGAAGUGGUUAGAAUAUGUGGUGUAGCGGUGAAAUGCAUAGAUAUCACAUAGAAUACCGAUUGCGAAGGCAGAUCACUAACUAUAUAUUGACGCUGAGGGACGAAAGCGUGGGGAGCGAACGGGAUUAGAUACCCGGGUAGUC
rnacentral:rRNA from 1 species